rnacentral:lncRNA from 1 species
ACCUUCAAAUCUAAACCCUAAAACAUCAACUCUAAACCCUAAACGUAGACCCUAAACCCUAAAACCCUAAACCUUCAAAUCUAAACCCUAAAACAUCAACUCUAGGGUUUUAGGGUUUAGGAUUUAGGGUUUAGAGUUUAGGGUUUAGAGUUGAAGGUUUAGGGUUUAAAGUUGAUGUUUUAGGGUUUAUGGCUAAUUUUUUAGGGUUUAGGGUUUAGAGUUUAUUUUUUAGGGUUUAGGGUUUAGGGUUUAGUGUUGACAGUUUAGGGUUUAGUGUUGAUGAUUUAGGGUUUAGAGUUGAAGUUUAGGGUUUAGGGUUUAGAGUUGAUGUUUUUGGGUGUAGAGUUGAAGGUUUAGGGUUUAGGGUUUAGGGUUUAGAGUUGAGGUUUUGAGGUUUAGGGUUUAGAGUUGAUGUUUCAGGGUUUAGGGUUCGUAUUUCAAAAAAAAAAUAGGGUUUAGGAUUGAUGGUUUAGGGUUUAGGGUUCUUAUUUCAAAAAAAAGUAGGGUUUAGGAUUGAUGGUUUAGGGUUUAGAGUUGAGUUUUAGGGUUUAGGGUUUGAAUUUCGAAAUUGUAUAAUUCG